GGGCUCACCAAGGCAACGAUCCCUAGCUGGUCUGAGAGGAUGAUCAGCCACACUGGAACUGAGACACGGUCCAGACUCCUACGGGAGGCAGCAGUGGGGAAUAUUGCACAAUGGGCGCAAGCCUGAUGCAGCCAUGCCGCGUGUAUGAAGAAGGCCUUCGGGUUGUAAAGUACUUUCAGCAGUGAGGAAGGUUCAUGCGUUAAUAGCGUAUGGAUUUGACGUUAGCUGCAGAAGAAGCACCGGCUAACUCCGUG
rnacentral:rRNA from 1 species